rnacentral:rRNA from 1 species
GACGAACGCUGGCGGCGUGCCUAACACAUGCAAGUCGAGCGAUGAAACUUCUUCGGAAGUGGAUUAGCGGCGGACGGGUGAGUAACACGUGGGUAACCUGCCUUAUAGUGGGGAAUAGCCUUCCGAAAGGGAGAUUAAUACCGCAUAAGAUUGUAGUUUCGCAUGAAACAGCAAUUAAAGGAGUAAUUCGCUAUAAGAUCGGACCCGCGUCGCAUUAGCUAGUUGGUGAGGUAAUGGCUCACCAAGGCCACGAUGCGUAGCCGACCUGAGAGGGUGAUCGGCCACAUUGGGACUGAGACACGGCCCAGACUCCUACGGGAGGCUG